GUUGCUAAGAUAUCAUUUCCUUUCUCAUGUUUUUCUUUCUUUUUUCUUUCUUUCACUUUUUUUAAAUGUGGCAAAACUCAAUGUAAAGAGAGACGCUUCUCCAUUGACCAUGCAAGGGAAACAUUAUUUUUAGUUCUCUUGGUCAUUCUCAGAGAGCCUGAGAAAUUAUCAGGUUUUGCUGAUAGCUUUUACUUUCAGAAAUUCAUCCUGAGGGGUGUUGUAACUGUGUUGUCCACUAAUGGCAUCAAAGCCUGUUGAAAUGCCUGAUUUACUUGAUACGAAUAACAACAAUUCAUCAGAAAAAAUCCUCAAGACUGAUGCAAACUUGGCAAAUGACUCAGGAGGUCAUGCACAGAUAGACCAAGUUUCUAAAAACAAUGCAAAGAUGACAACAACAAGUAAACCAUCAUCUAGACCUCAGAGACUGGAACCAUCCAUGAGGAACAUGUCUGAAUUCUCCACAGCCUCAUCUGCAAGGGGGUUUCAUACAAAGAACCAUGGCUACAGGAGCGGAUCUAGCUCCCGCAGCGACAGUUUAGAGAGCACAAGUGCACCGAUUAAGCCCCACACCGGAGGCGAUGUGAGGUGGGAUGCAAUUAACAUGGUUUCCAAGGGCUUUAGUCUUAACCUUAGCCAGUUUAGGCUUCUGAAGCGUGUAGGGUACGGAGACAUUGGAAGCGUGUACCUUGUGGAGCUUAAAGGAACUAGGACCUUCUUCGCCAUGAAAGUGAUGGAUAAGGCGUCUCUUGCAAGCAGAAACAAGCUUCUGAGAGCACAGACAGAGAGGGAGAUUCUUGGACUUCUUGACCACCCUUUCUUGCCCACUUUAUAUUCUUAUUUUGAGACUGAGAAGUAUUACUGUUUGGUCAUGGAGUACUGUAGUUGUGGCAGUUUGCAUUCCCUUCGAUUGAAGCAACCUAACAGGCAUUUCACCGAAGAAGCUGCACGGUUUUAUUGUUCAGAGAUCUUGUUAGCACUGGAGUACCUUCACAUGCUCGGCAUCGUCUACAGAGACCUAAAACCAGAGAACGUCCUAGUCCGCGACGAAGGCCACAUCAUGCUCUCCGAUUUCGACCUCUCCCUCCGCUGCUCCGUCAGCCCCACCCUCGUCAAAUCCUCCUCCGCACACGUCAGCACCACCACCGGCGUCAUAGACGACGGCAACCACCAAGUCCAAAGCUGCAUGCAACCCUCAAGCUUCUUCCCACGCAUCCUCCCCUACAAAAAGAAUCGCAAAUCCAAAUCCGACUUCGGCCUCAUGGUCGGCGGCCGUCUCCCGGAGCUCAUGGCGGAGCCGACGAACGUCCGGUCAAUGUCGUUCGUCGGAACUCACGAGUAUCUCGCGCCGGAGAUUGUUCGCGGCGAGGGGCACGGAAGCGCGGUGGAUUGGUGGACAUUCGGAAUAUUCCUCUACGAGCUUCUUCAUGGAACGACGCCGUUUAAGGGCGCUGGGAAUCGUGCCACGCUUUUCAAUGUGGUGGGCCAGCCUUUGAGGUUUCCAGAAGAUUCGAAUUGUCAUGUGAGUCAUGCAGCGAGGGAUCUUAUUAGAGGGUUGUUGGUGAAAGAGCCUCAUAAGAGGAUUGCUUAUAAGAGAGGUGCUACUGAGAUUAAGCAACAUCCUUUUUUUGAUGGGGUUAAUUGGGCUCUUAUUAGAAGUGCUACACCUCCUAUUAUACCUGAAACUGUUGAUUUUUCACAGUAUUUGAGCAACCAAACUGUGGCUGCUGAUAAGAAGAUGGCUGAGAUUGUGAGUGAACAAAAUACUACUACCAAUGCUGAACAACCUGAUUCUUAUGAAGAUUUUGAGUAUUUCUAGCUAGAAAGAAUUGCUUACAAAUAUCCUUGUUUCUUUCAAGGACACUGGUCUAUACCAACUAUAAAUAAACAUUAGAAUGUAAUGUAUCUUCAUCUUUUUAGUAACUCUAUAGUCUAUAGGGGGAGAGACUUCUUAUUUCAUGUCUGUGCCCAAUAUUCCAUGUAUCUUUAUAGUCGGCAGACCUAUGAGAUUAAUCUCGACAAAGUUUUGAUAUAAAAAAAAAUUGGAUAUAUAAAACUUGAGAGUUGCAAUUUGCGAUGAAGUGAAAGAGAGCAAUCACACUCAUUUGAUGACAGUAACAUCGUUUUCUCAUUUUCGUUAAAAAGA